UACGUAGGAGCCAAGCGUUGUCCGGAUUGACUGGGCGUAAAGCGCACGCAGGCGGUGGUGCGCGCGGGGUGUGAAAUCUGGCCGCUUAACGGCCAGGCGCCAUCCCAUACGGCACGACUGGAGGGCUGCAGAGGUCGAUGGAAUUGCCGGUGUAGUGGUGAAAUGCGUAGAUAUCAGGAGGAACACCUGUGGUGUAGACAGCUUACUGGACCAUUUCUGACGCUGAGACACGAAAGCGUGGGUAGCAAACAGG
rnacentral:rRNA from 1 species